GGGACGAUCGAGCGCUCCCCAGGCUGACUCUAUUUUAAGACUCUCGCUUCGGAUCUCCUCUCCCCCUCCCCCAGCUCCAGGAAGGAAGGAGACUGGAAGAACAAAUUCCCGCGAAAGGAAGGAAUAAGCAGAUCUGAAUCUUGGAGCCUAGACUCAUUCCCUAAACUGAACUUGGUUUUUCAUUUCCAGCCGCUCCCCUCUUCACCCUCUCUAUGCCACUCUUAGACUGCAAAGCAUCUCUAUGGGAGGAAGCACACCCCAGCUGUCAAUCACAAAGUGGAACUUUGGUCAGAAGAGUCAGGGGUUUUGUUUCCAAAGUUAAUGAAGUGGCUGGAACAAGAAACAUCUGCCAGAGAACUCAAACCUUCUCCAGCUGCUGGAGACUGGCAGACACUCUUCAGUGUCCAGGCAUCAAACCCAGGCAGCAUCUGCCCUUGUGACCGACCCCAACCAACCACAGAGGAACACACAUGAAGAGGGACAGACUGUUUACGCUGAACAGUGAGCAUACAAGACAUGUUUCUGGACAUGGCUUAUGAGCUUCAGUUAUCCCAACUGGUAUAGCCAGGAAACAAGAAAUUGGCUUUAUGAAGUUUAUCAGAAUACUGCACCAGCAACCUAGAAGCCUGGAGACUUGCUAAGGAUGCUUCUUUUCCACCUGUUCUCCUUUCACCAAGGACGGACCCUCAAGAAAGAAGCAGCAGCAGUUUCAGACACACGGUGGAACUGCAUCUGGGGUAAGGAAACUUAAACUCUUAAGUCAGGCCAACCUGGAUCCUAUCCCUAGUUCAGACACUGAGUAAUUCUCUGCCCUCUGUCUUCAACCACCUGUGUAUAAGGAGAGCCAGUGCACGUUUCAAGGAUGGACAGUGGGACUUCUUGUAAUUCAAGAAUCACUAGUGCCUCUGACACCUCCACCAUUUUAAUAAAAAUAUGAUUUU